GGGGACGUAGUUCAGCUUGGUAGAAUGCGCGCCUGGGGCGUGCGUGGUCGAGGGUUCAAAUCCCCCCGUCCCCA
rnacentral:tRNA from 1 species